rfam:Fonsecaea multimorphosa CBS 102226 unplaced genomic scaffold supercont1.12, whole genome shotgun sequence.
GCUUCGAUAGCUCAGUGGUAGAGCGAGAGAUUGCAGUUGCAAAGCUUACAACGCUCAAAAAUAAGCUACAACACUACAAAUAUCUCUAGGUCACGUGUUCGAACCACGUUCGGAGCU